rnacentral:tRNA from 1 species
GCCGCCAUGGUGAAAUCGGUAGACA